rnacentral:misc_RNA from 1 species
AAGUCGUAACAAGGUAACCGUAGGUGAACCUGCGGUUGGAUCAUUAAGGGAUAGUUACACAGACCAACAAGCAAAUGUUGUUUGAUUAGACAGGGAAGAUUAUUAUAAUAUCAUGAAACGACAACUUUUGACAAUGGAUCUCUUGGUUCUC